UACGUAGGGUGCAAGCGUUAAUCGGAAUUACUGGGCGUAAAGCGUGCGCAGGCGGUGAUGUAAGACAGGUGUGAAAUCCCCGGGCUUAACCUGGGAACUGCAUUUGUGACUGCAUCGCUGGAGUGCGGCAGAGGGGGAUGGAAUUCCGCGUGUAGCAGUGAAAUGCGUAGAGAUGUGGAGGAACACCGAUGGCGAAGGCAGCCUCCUGGGCCGACACUGACGCUGAGGGCACGAAAGCGUGGGGAGCAAACAGG
rnacentral:rRNA from 1 species